CCAGCCUGGAGCUUGUGUAAUUCCUAGUUACCAUGGGAUGUCAAUCCCAUGGCAGAAAAAGAUAAACAAAUAGAGACAUAAUUAGCGUAGCUGCUGUUCAGCAAAAUUGAUUCGUUUAAC